rnacentral:tRNA from 1 species
UAGGCUGUAGCUCAGUGGGUAGGGUGCUUGCCUAACAUUCAUGAGACUCUGGGUUCCAUCCCUAGCAGUUCAU